UUAUUAAAUUAGCAGCCGCUCUACCAUAAAUGGUUCCAUCAGACUCAACGCGUGCAUUAACCGGGGUUCUGUGCUCGUCAUGAGCACGUCUGUAAAUAUUGCACUGGUUGACUCUGUGUUGGCAUUCUCGCACACUCGAUCACUCGAUCCCUCCUCCUUCCACUGGUCGGAAGGCAGGGUGGGUCCGAACCGCCUCACAAUUCCAACGGAAUCAGGGCAUAUAAAGAUCAAAGCUCGCAGUCAAAUUAGGAUGGAGUAUUCCACUUCCUUGUUCUGGCUUCAGCCUCCUUUCCUUCCAGUCCUAGUGAUGGAUCGCAGGUCAAAAAUUCUAUUGUUUAUUUUUAAUUUGAUUUUAUUAUUUGGAGAUGCAACACCGUAACAGGCCCUUCUGGCCCACCGGGCCCUCGCUAGCCAAUACUCCCGUGUGGCCAGUUAACCUACACGUCUUAGUGUCACAGUGUGCUCUCGGAGGACUGGACCCAGGCCCGGAGGAACGGCAGGCUUUCUCUGUCACAAACCAACUCAACCCAGGAGCGGAGGAAUGGCAGGAUCCCCAGGAGGAGGCGGAAAUAAGAGGAAGUCCUGGGAGAUCCUGACCCUGCAGGCACAACUCCCUGACAGUUACUCUAACAGUACGUAUCCAGCAGGACGCUGAUGACCUAUAAGGAGAAGAACACAGUUGGAUGGUCCCGGCCAUUUUGUGCGUUGCUCUCAAGCGAGUUGUGAAAUAGUCCCCUUCAGAACCAGUGCGGUUGAAGUCUGUAGCCACAGCCACUUGCAGUAAGCAAUGGUGUUUAUUUAUUUAUUUGACAUGCCUGCACUGUGCUGCUGCCACAAAAAAACAAGUUUCUUGAAUUAUGUCAGUGACAAUAAACCUGAUUCUAAUGCUGAGCAUUGAAAUUCUAGAAAGUGCCGCCACAGAUUAGAAGAAUACAUUGGAUGUUUUAAAGAUGGAUUAAACCCUAGGGCUUGUUUUUGAUGUAUCCCAGGGUGCUAAGGGUGUCAAGGGAGGAGAUUGCUGAGGCCCUGACAGAAAUCUUUAAAUCUUCUCUGACCACAGGUAAAUUAGUUGUCAGAUGACCGGCAUUCAGCAAACACUGAAGCUUUAUUCCAGUAGGUAAACAAAAAUAAGCCAGGUAUUUACAAGCCAGUGAGGAUUUCAUCAACAGUAGGGAAGUUAUUGAAAACAAAUUCCUGAGGGACUGGGUUAAUCUAUACUUGGAAAGGUCGGGUUUACUCAAACGGGUUUGUUAGUUGGAGAUCCUGUUUGACAAAUUUGAUUGAAUUUUUUGAAAACAUAGCAAAAUAUAAGGAUGAGGACAGAACUAGAUGUAGUUUAGAUGGCCUUCAGCAAGGCCUUUGACAAGGUCCCACAUGGGAGACUAGUUCACAAAAUUAGAACCCAUGGGAUCUGAGAUAUGAUGGCAAAUUAAAUACAAAAUUGGGCUGCUAAAGGGAGGGCAUUGCUUGGGAUUGGAAGCCUAUGACUAAUGGUGUGCCACAGUCAUCAAUGCUGGGCCCUUAUUAUUUGUGAUAUACAUUAAUACUUUGGAGAUGAAUGCAGGAAAUAUGAUAAGUAAGCUUGCAAAUGACAUGAAUGUAUUUGGUGUUGAUAGUGAAGAGGAUAGUCUUAGGAGAAUAUUAAUCACUUGGCAAAUUUGGUAGAUGGAACUUAAUGUUAAUAAGAUGAAGAGAUCCUUAUGGGAGAACAUUUUUUCAGUCUUGUGUUUUUUUUGUAUUCUGUGUUUUUCGCCCAAUCUUUCUUGGUUUUUUGUGUGCAGGGUCGGGGGUUUUGGUGGUCCAUGUGCCUAUUCUGAUUUUAUUCCGUUUUUUGUGUGGGGAGGAGGGAUUUCGGGGUUGGUGAUCGUGCUGUUGUUCUUUUCUUUCCUGGUUUCAUAGCUAUCUGGAGAAGAAGAAUUUCAGAGUUGUAUUUUUUGAUAAUAAUUGAACCUUUGAACCGUUGAAGGUAAACAUAAGAGAAUACAGAUGCUGGAACACAGAAAUUGAGAAGUUCUGCAUGGGUGCAGGAAACAGAACCAUUGCAAACGAGUGAGAAUUGGUGAAAGAUUUGAGGAAUGGUGCCCAGCUAAGUUUGGAACAUAGACUGCCCCACAUUGCCAAAUGAAAAGGCCAAUGCAACUGAGGCCCUUGCAGGUGUCUAUGGCAACAGCUUGAUAUGGAGGAAGAUUUUUAGUUAAGUUGAUAACGUUGAUGAAUCCAUAUCUAAGAAGCUGAUAAAACUGACCAAUGAAUGGGGGGCCCGAAGAGGAAUGUUUGGUUAAUGCUAAUGGAAGGGGGGAAGCAAAAUAGUGGGCACUGUAUCUCCUGUGAUUGAAUGGGAAAAUGCCAUAGUUGGUGGAGAUGGAAGAGUGAAUUAGAAGUCACAAAAACAAUGUAAUUCCCUAUCCAAUUCCCACUCUGAUCACUGUGUGUGUGUGUCUGUGUGUGUGAGUGUGAGAGAGAGAGAGAGAGAGAGAGAGAGUGAGAGAGAGCUUCUACACUAUGUAACUCAUCUUCGGCCUAGGAAUGUUGCAGUCUUACAGACUAAAUAUUGAGUUCUCCAAGUAACUCACUUUCUCUAACUUCUGGUAAUUUCUCCUCCAUCCAUCCUUCUUUAUUUUUCCAUUUCCAUUCUAAUUGCUCUCUCACUCCUUCCCUUCUCCUCACCUGCCUAUUACCCCCCUCUGGUUGCCCUCCUCCUUCUCUUUUUUCCAUGGUCCACUGUCCACUGCUAUCAGGCUCCUUCUUCUUCAGCUCUUUAUCUCUUCUUCCUAUCCAUCCCCAGCUUCUUACUUUAAACCCCUACCCCACCCAUUCACCUGCCCUCUCACCUAUCAUCUGCCAGCCUGUAUCCUUCUCCCUCCUUAUUUUGGGUUCUUCCACCUUCUUUUCUAAUCCUGAUGAAGGAUCGCGGCCUGAAACGUCAACUGUUUAUUCCCCUCCGUAGAUAUUGCCUGAUUUGCUGAGUUCCUCCAGGACUUAGUGUGUGUUGCCCAAGAAUUCCAGCAGCUGCAGAAUCUCUGGUGUUUGCAUCAUGUUUCUUUGACUAUGUUACCUCCCUCUAACUGCACCCAUAAAGUCACUUGACUAGAGAAUUCAUCCCCACAGCAACCCAGGCCUCACCUAUCAUCAAUAUUUCCUCACCCUUCCCAAACCCUCUCAUCGCUUUCUCUUUAACUUAAAACUUCCUCCAUUUUUCUCUUUCCCAGUUCUGAUCAAGCGAAACAAUGAUUCUGUUUCUCUCUCCACAGAUGCUGCCUGACCUGCUGAGGUAUUUCCAGCAUUUUCUGUAUCUUUAUUUCAGAACUCCAGCAUCUGCAGACUUUUUUUUAAAUUUCAAGAACACUAUCCUGUCCAAUGCUGACUUUGUCAGUCCCACUGUUGUUUAGCAUCCCUUGUGCUGGACGACUGUAAAUCAUCUCUGUUGUGACUGUGAAAAAAGUCACCGGUGAGACACUGAAGCUGCUGAUGUAGAUGUCUUUAUUCAGCACAACAAGCAGGCAUCAUUCUGGAGACAAUCUCAAUAGAGGCCCACAAACCCAAAGGUACAUCACAUGUUUAUACCCUUAAGAUCAAAGGUAACAGCAGGUGAUUCAAUACAGUUUCAAUAGUUACAAUAACAUUGUUUACUUCAAUAUUUUGGGUUGACAAAUGUUUCCUUUGAGACACAUAGUAGAAUCACAUUGUGGUAUGAGCCCUGAAUUUGUUAAUUGUCAUCUUAUCUAGUGUCAUUAAGACCUUGUGCUUUUUGUGUAAUCUUAUCAGUUUAUUUUGACUGGCACGGGUUUUCAGCCUAUUGUGAUUUAAAAUGGACUCCCAAUUAGCACUCACUGUGGGGUCCUUGUGUAUGUUUCAAGAAUAAUUCCUCUCAUGGUAUUGCUUAGUUAAGCAACCAAAGUUCAAUUGUCGUUCUGACGAAUAAAUGUUUUUUUUCUGUCUCAGCAUGGGAAUUUGCUGUUCCUUCUAAGCUGGGUUUAGAUAGGACACCUUUGAAGCUCCAAAUGCCUUUGGGAGAAACAAAUUAGCAUGAAUAUUCUAAAACUUAUUGCCAACAAAGAGCCAGACACCCAACAUUAAUGUUGUCAGGGUGUUUCUGAGCACACAGGUAUGAUAAGUACACAAAAACUAUUGAUUGCCUAUACCUGUAACCAUGUUUGAAAUGCUAAGUCACAACUUCCAUCUGGUCUGCCAGCUUGCAUUCAAGCCACCAUGGUGCAAAUAAAUUAGCAAUGUUGCCUUGUUUGAUGCAUGCCAAUUAACACAAGCCCAUUGUCUUAAUAUUUGCCUCUUGCAUAUGCAGUCUCUUAGUCUGUGGAGCAGCCUGUGGUUUUAACUACAAUUUAGUGCUUGCAAUUUACAAAAAAAAUGAAUGAUAAUUGCAAGCUUCCUGAAUAUUUUUACAUUUACAAUAAGAAUUGAAGUCAGAACUUCAAUAAAAAAAUUACAAAAAGAAGAAUUGAAGGCUUUUUCUUGUUUGAAUUAAUGUCUGCUAUAUUCACAUAACACCAGAAUACUCCCUAACAGUCUCCACUUCUCUCUGUUGUGUGCAGUUCCAGUAGCUCCAUUGUAGGAAGAAAUGGGGGUGGGGGGGCUUUGGCGAGGACCGAGAAGGGGUUUGCCAUGAUGCUGCUUGGAUUAGACAGGUAUAUAGAGGAAUUUAAAGUGGAAGGCUAUAUGGGAAGCAGGGUUUAAGGGUCGGCACAACAUUGUGGGCUGAAGGGCCUGUACUGAGCUGUAUUGUUCUAUGUUCUAUUAGGGAGCAUGAUCUACAAGGAGAUGUUAACCAAACUUUGUUUUUUUUUCUCUCUAGAGUGGCGGAGGCUGUGGGGAGACCUGACAUAAGUUUUCUAACAUUUAUGACAGGCAUAAAUAGGGCAGACAGUCCAGAUCUUUUUCCCAGCAUAGAAAUGUCUAAUACUAGAGAACUUGCAUCACACCUGAGAGGGGGGAAGUUUAAGGGACAUCUAUAGGACAAGGUAAGUAAAUAUACUCUGAUACUAAAUUUACUUUGAUCUUUAUUAUUGUCACAUGUAACACGAGGCAAUGAAACAAUUCUGCUUGCAUGCCAUCCAGACAGAACAGUCUAUACAUAGAACAUAGAACAGGUACUUCAACUUCCGACAUCUUGCCAAGUUGAUUAAAUUAGUAAUGAACCUCUAAACCCAUCUCCUCUGCCUACAAAAUGUCCAUCUCCCUCCAUUCUCUGAACAUUCAUUUGCUUAUUUAAGAGCUCCUUAAAAGCUUCCACCUCCACUCAAAGGCAUUCCAGGCUCCCCACUGUCUUUGGAAAAAAACUUGCUCCACACAUUUCAUUUGAACUUAACCCUUCUCACGUUAAAUGCAUGCCUUCUAGUAUUAGACAUUUCAACCCUCGGAAACAGAUACCAUCUGUCUACUCUAUGCCUCUUAUAAAUGUGCAUAGGAACAUUAAGGUAUGUGAAAAGGAAAAAUAAAACAACAUUCAUAACAUUUUCCUACAACUUCUUCUGACAGCAUCUCUGGCGGUGCACUUUCAUCCACAUAUUGCGUCAGUGCUGAGGCGUAACAUAUGGAUUAAAGUCCUGUUGUUUUCUGCCAUGUCAAUUCAAAUCAAUUCGUUUCACGGAUCAUUUAAUCUGACAGUGGUGGAUGGGAGUUUUGUUAUUUUCCUUGCUUUUUUUUCAGUAAAGUUGAUUUGUUUCUAUGGUUAUCAUUUAUUCGUAAACGGGUACAGAGCUGAAGCAAAUGCAGUUCACAAGUUAUCCGAUCUGACAAGUGUGGAGCACUUAGGAAUGCCCUACACCUGCUGUCCUUCCACAUUAGCACAAAAUACUGCAGAUGUUCAAAAGCUGAAAAAAUGAUGGAUAUGCUCAAAAGGUCAGGCGGCAUCUGUGAAGAGAGCUAGGGAAUUGGGCUUUCAGUUGAGCUGGGAAAAGUGGUAAAUAUACUGGUUUUAAAGAAGGGGAUAAGUGAAGUAACCAAACAAACCAACACUUUCACCAACUCUGUUGGAUGUUUAAUUCUGAAUAUCUGGAUGUAUAACUGUCCUCAUUUCUUCCAAAGUACCUCCCAAACUCUACAAGUUACAAGGACAAUGAGAGUGUGGGAACACCAACAACUCCGGGUGUCUGCCCAAGUCAUAUAACAACUCAUCUUGGUGUUCCAUUAUUGCUACAGAGUCAAAUUCCCAAUGGGAACACCUUCUACAGCAAUCCAUAGAGGUGGUUCAACAAAGCUUCCACGAGGGUGAUGGUGAUGAGCAAGUUCUGCGCUUCCCUCUGAUGUUCACAUCCCACAAAUACACCAGAGAUUCAUAUGGGAACAUGGGCACCCAAAGGGAAUCUUGCUAGAUUAGUCAACCUUUCCUUGCCAGUCCUCCUUAUAUUCUCAAUCGCUGCAAGAUGUGAAAAAUCAAAACCCUACAGACACAGCAAAUUUGGAAUGAAAGUUCAAAAUAAAAUUAUCAAAGAACAUAUAUUGGUCAUAUACAACUCUGACAUUCACUUUGCAGUGGGUGUACUCAAAAAAAUCUAUAGAAUAAUAACUAUAACAGAAUCAUUGAAAGACUGCCCAACUUGGGCUUUCAACCAGAGGGCAGGAGACAACACAUUGUGCAACACACAGAAGAAAGAAAUAAAAAUAAUAAAUAGAUAAGCAAUAAAUAUUGAGAUCAUGAGAUGAAGAGUCCUUUAAAGUGAGUCCAUGGCUAAUAGGAACAUUUCAAUGAUGGGGCAAGUGAGGCUGAGUGAAGUUAUUCUCUUUGGCUCACGAGCCUGAGGGUUGAGGGUAGAAACUGAUCCUGAACCUGGUGGUGUGAGUCUGGAGGCUCCUUUACCUUCCUCCUGAUGGUAACAGCAAGAAGAGAGUAUGCCUUGGGUAAUGGGAGUCCCUGACGAUGGAAGUUGCUUUCCUGCAACAUAAUUUCAUGUAGAUGUGCUCAAUGGUUGCGAGGGUUUUAUCUGUGAUGGAUGAGCUGAAUCCACAACCUACCAUAGGAUUAUCUGUUCGAGGGCAUUGGUGUUUCCAUACAAGGCUGUGGUGUAGUUGGUCAACAUACUUUCCACUACACAUCUAUAGACGUUUGUCCAAGUUUUAGAUGUCAUGCUGAAUCUCUGCAAACUCCUAAGGAUGCAGAGGCACUGUCAUGCUUUCUUUGUAAUUGCACUAAUGUCCUGGGCCUAGGACAUGUCCUCCAAGAUAAUAACAACGAGGAAUUUAAAGUUGCUGACCCUCUCCACCUCUGAUCCUCUGAUGAGAAAUGCCUUAUGGACCUCUGGUUUCUUUCUCCUGGAAGUCAGUGAUCAGCUCCUUGGUCUUUCUGAUCUUGUGGAAGAGGUUGUUAUGGCACCACUCAGCAAAGAGUGCUGGAAAUACUCAGCAGGUCAGUCAGCAUCUGUGGAAAGAGAACCAGAUUUAACUUUUGAUGAAAAAUCAGAACUGCUACAGGUGUGACUUUUUUAACUAGUUGGAGACAAGUUGUGAGAAAUCUAUUUUUUGGGUGUAGACUUUUGGAGAUUAGUGUUUCCCAACCUUUUUUUUAGCUCGGCCCGAAACAUUGACUGUUCGUUUCCACGGAUGCUGCCCAACCUACUGAGUUCCUCCAGCGUGUUUGUACGUGUUGAUUUGACCACAGCAUCUGCAGUGUACUUUGUGUUUACUUAUUUUUAGCCCAAUGCCCUCCAAAGCACCUUCAUACUUGCCAUCUCCCCUCUUAGGCACAAAUACGUCCCAGCGCCCCUAUAGUAUUAAAAUAUGUCUACCAUAUGCUAACAUAAGAUAAACAAUUCCACUUUAAAUUUUUAUUUGUCUUUAAACCUAGCUUGCAUAGUACCUGUACAAUGGCUUCGAUAUCAAUGUGAUCCUUGAGCUUGAUGGUUUUUAGCAAAAGAUGAAAUAUCUAGUUUAAGUUAUAGCAGUAAAAGCCUUUAGUCCUCAUGCAUAACAAUGUCCAAGCGGAUUCUGUCUUUUGUGAGUAUAUGGUUCACUGCCUCGUUCAACAAGGUAGGAGGAUGAAAAUGCAAUGAAGAACAGUUUGGAUCUUCUCCAAGGACCAAGAAGCUUUGUAUGACAGAAUAGCCACAUUACACAAAAGCCGAAAAGCAUUUUUACUUCUUCAUCAUUCUGAAUUUUGAUCAUUUCUUCUUGUAAGCUCUCUUCCUGUUCUUCCACUUUGCAAGUAAAUGGAUUAAUUACCCAAUAUGAAAUUUCUAAAUCGUUCGAAUCCUUGAAUUGAUUCUGAAAAUCCUUCUUCAGUGACUGCAGGUGUAAGCAGUACCCUUGCAAAUCACCAUCUGUGAAAGAAAGUGCCAUACAUUCCAUGCAGGAAAACUGUGAAAACGUUCUUCGCCCAAUGUUUUGCUUAUAUACUUACAAUUUUCUGAUAAAAGUGGACACUGUGGCGACCCACUUUCUGCGCAGGCGAGCCGGCUCACAAAUAGCCUGCGCGCGGGGAGAGACUUUGGUAAUGCACCUCUGACGUCAUUUCCACCCGGAGAGGGUGGGAGCUAGGGAUUAAAAGCCAGCGCCGCGAAGUUUGAAUAAACUAGUCUCGAAAUGAUUUACCGACUGCGUGUCGUUGUUUCAAGCUCUGUAUGUAGUACAUCGCUACAACACUGCACUUUUUGCCUGGAUUAAAUUGAAAUCCUCAACCUAUAGCUUCACAUUUGGAAAGUUCAUUUUGUCGUACAGAUCGGCUCGGUAUGCCACAUCUCCACAUUGAUGUUCAUUCUUGUUUCCCAAGCUCUCGUCUACUUUGAGCAAACGUUCAACCGGUGUCAAAAAGAUCAAAGAAACAUUUUAAGCAGCAUGAACUCGUUCCAUGCUGUGGGUUAAGGAGAAAUGGUGGUCACCCUGGUUGCUAAUUUAUGCAUCCCCAAAAAUGUUUGUUUGGUUUGUAAGGUCAGAUGAGAUUGCCGAGUGCUCACCGCCCGCAGGGCUAUGGUUCUUCCCGUGUUCCAGUGCCUCAUCUCUUUUUUUGGAAGUGCCUGCUCUAUGAACAAUCGAUCAGGUCUCACACCUCAAGUUAGGAUGCCGCUUACCACCCCUUCCAAGAAACUUGCAAACCCCCCACCCCGAAAUGACUGCUAUUUCCCCUAAUGCCCCCUUAUGACACGUAACCAGCCCCUUGGGAAUCACAGGUCUAAACCCACCAAAUUUCUUUCAUUUAAUAUGUACAGCCGAUGAGCAAAAUUGAAUUCAGCCAAUCUUGGUGGGCUCACAUCCAGUUUACAGAUAGAACAUUACCCAAUAUUUUAAGCUUCUCCUAGUCCCUUCCACAAGUUUGUCCUGCAUAGGAGUGAAGCUUUGACAUCCACGAAUCCACGAAGUUUGAUUUCCAUAUCCAGAAUCUGCCUUUUCAAGUUUGUUCAUCUGUUGAACUCAUCAGAGGGAAAACUGAGGUGUGAGAUUCCUUUCUUCAUAACUUGGCUAUUAUUGAGCUUCUCUCAAUUGUCACGCAGUAACAGGGAAUGUGAAGCCUUCCAUAACCACACUUAAGGAAACCAAAUAGUUUCAGUGAAGCUUUGUAGGUUCCUGGUCAUGCCUCGGGAAGGUAGUUGGUCCAAAUGAGGGCACGCACACUUUGGAAAGGAAGUGAAAGCCUUGCCGAUUCUCCAGCACACUAGGCACAAGUUGUCAAAGUCUUGCGGAGAGAGGGAGGAUUGGGCUGCACCGUGCCGCAGCUACUGGAACCACCGCCUCACAGUCCCUCUGACGAGCGUUCAAGCCCAGCCUCCAGCGUUGUGAGUGUAGAACUACCCCUGUGAAUGUGUCAGGUGCUCCAGUUUGUUCUCACAUCCCAGAAGUGUGUAGGUCAGCAGAUGAAGUGGCCACUGUGAGUCAGAAUGUGAGCUGGGUUGAUGGGAAGUUGGGGGGGGGGAGCAGAAAAUAGGACUGGUGCAAGAUCAGUGUGAACGAGUGCUUGUUGGUCAGUACAGACUGAAUGGGCCAAAAGGCCUGGUUCCUUGCAGUAUGACCCUAUGACAUUUGUAUUUGGGAAGAUCUGAUCACAGGCUGGAAGGCUAACACAAUCUGAAAUCCUAGACCUCAGCUUAAAGUUUGGAACCUCAGAUAAUGUACCAUUCCUCCAGGGCAGUGCGGACCUCUAUCGAGUCCAAGUGCAAGGCUUACUUGCUUGCUUCUUUUCUUUAACUGUUUCCAUGAUAUGUUCUUUCUUUUUCACACAUUGGAUGUAUGACUGUCUUUCGGGUUUUCUCGUGAAUUCUAUUGUGUUUCUUUGCUUUGUG